UACUGGUUUGCUAUAGAUCGCUUUUAU
rnacentral:misc_RNA from 1 species